GAGAGAGAGAGAGAGAGAGAGAGAGGCAUGAUGAUGGGGAAGGAAGAGAUUCGGUACGGAAUUGUAGGGGCGGGGAUGAUGGGGAGGGAGCACAUGGUGAACCUCUCCCACAUCCGCGGCGACGGCGCCGCCCUCACGUGCGUCGCCGACCCACACCCUCCCUCCCUCGACCUCGCCCUCGACCUCGCCCGUUCCCUCCAUUUGCCCCCCCUCACGACAUUCUCAGGACACCGUGAGCUGCUAGACAGUGGACUCUGUGAUGUGGUGGUUGUGUCAUCUCCAAACAUGACUCACUUUGAGAUUCUCAUGGAUAUAAUUAGCCAUCCCAGACCUCAUCACGUACUUGUGGAAAAGCCUCUUUGUACUACCAUUCAGGACUGCAGAAAGGUCGUAGAUGCAGCUAAACAGAGACCUGAGAUACUGGUGCAUGUUGGGCUGGAGUACAGGUAUAUGCCUCCUGUGGCUAAAUUAAUUGAGAUAGUUAAAAGUGGAACACUUGGGCAAGUUAGGAUGGUGGCAAUCCGUGAACAUCGUUUUCCUUUUCUGGUUAAGGUCAACAACUGGAAUCGGUUUAAUGUUAAUUCUGGGGGGACUCUGGUUGAGAAGUGCUGCCACUUUUUUGAUUUAAUGAGGCUGAUUGCAGCUGCAAAUCCAGUUCGUGUGAUGGCUUCUGGGUCUAUGGAUGUUAACCAUAAGGAUGAAAUCUAUGAUGGAAAGGUACCAGAUAUCAUUGAUAAUGCAUAUGUGAUUGUAGAAUUUGAUAAUGGCUCUCGGGGCAUGCUUGACCUUUGCAUGUUUGCUGAAGGCAGUAAAAAUGAGCAAGAAAUUUCUGUUGUUGGUGACAUUGGAAAGGGUGAGGCCUUUGUUCCUGAGAGUGUUGUGCGUGUUGGCAACAGAGCAGCAGGGAGGGCUGGAGUCAUGACAAUAAAAGCAGAGGAUGAACGAAUCAAGUAACGUUUUAAUUGCAUAUUCAAAUCAAAGAAGGAGCCCUUCAUUUGGUUGACAAGGUGGCCGCACACUAGUGGCAAUACAGCAAAGUCUAGUGCAGUAAACUUACUGGCUGCUCAGCAGAUAUGACGGACUGCAUCAUGGAUCGAGCUAUUUAGAACACCUAAACUUCCUGUCUGCAGUCAAAGCUCAAGGUGGUGGUGCCCCUGCUGUUGACUUGAAUGACGGGUUUCUCGCAGUUGCCAUUGGUGUUGCAGGUCAACUUUCAAUUGAGAAAGGCCGUUUUGUUACCAUGGAAGAGGUCUUGUCAAUCUAGUUAACAUUCAAAAUCUGUCUCUCACUAUUCUCUCCAACAGAAAGGGAACAGUUGUCCCAAAUGAUGAUGCUUUCAUGUAUUUUGUUCUCGAGGGUAGUCCGGUUAUGCUGCUUCUUCCACUCUAUGACAUAUAAAUGUGUCUUUCUUUUCCAGAUUCCAGUUCAUCACUUCAACUAAGCGUAUCAACUUUAAGGAUAUUUUUCAUCA